GCGAAGAAGGCCUUCGGGUUGUAAAGCUCUUUCGCCAGGGAACAAGGGAGGCGGGAUAAAACUCCGUCAACUUGAUGGUACUUGGUAAAGAAGCACCGGCUAACUCCGUGCCAGCAGCUGCGGUAAUACGGAGGGUGCAAGCAUUGAUCGGAAUUACUGGGCGUAAAGGGCGCGUAGGCGGCCGGAAAAGUCAGAUGUGAAAUUCCAGGGCUCAACCCUGGAGCUGCAUUUGAAACUCUCUGGCUAGAGUGCAGUUAGGGUAAACGGAAUUCCACGUGCAGCGGUGAAAUGCGUAGAUAUGUGGAAGAACACCGGUGGUGAAGACGGUUUACUGGGCUGUAACAGACGCUGAGGCGCGAAAGCAUGGGGAGCAAACAGGAUUAGAUACCCUGGUAGUCCAUGCCUUAAACCAUGCAUACUAGGUGUAGGAGGGCUCAACCCCCUCUGUACCGGAGCUAACGCAUUAAGUAUGCCGCCUGGGGAGUACGCUCGCAAGGGUG
rnacentral:rRNA from 1 species